rnacentral:sRNA from 1 species
GCCAGGUGAGGUGGCGCAUGCCUGUAAUCCCAGUGGCUCCGGAGGCUGAGGCAGGAGGAUCGUGAGUUCAAAGCCAGCCUCAG